UGUUGUAUUCCAGUACCGGCCCAACUCUUCCCUCUGCAGCCGACACGACGUCCACUGGCCGUCGCGCCCGCGCUGCGCGUAGCAGGACCAGAUUCUCCCGCUCGACUACUCGACGGCGGCAGCCGGCGCUAGGGUUCGCCGCCGCCACUUGACCCAGGCAGCGGAAUGAAUCCCCCAAUGGAGGCGGCUGCCGCUCCCGCCGUCGCCUCCUCCGGCUACGAACUGCGUUGCUCGCUCAACCCCGCGCCGAAGCAGGAGAGGCGGAGCGCGCGGGUGGGCUUCUCGACCAAGCGGCCGCCCUGUGCCGUGAACUGCAGGGGGUUGCUGCUCCGUCCGAGCUCUCGCGUUUACGUCGCGGCAUCGGCAUCGAAAUCGGCGGUGAUGGAUAACGGCCCUGGGGAUUCCCGUGUCAGGAGGAAGAGGCUCGCAGUGUUUGUGUCUGGCGGGGGCUCGAACUUCCGGUCGAUCCACGAGGCCGCUCUGGGUGGACGGGUGAAUGGCGUUGUGGUUGCGCUCGUCACUGAUAAGCCAGGCUGUGGCGGUGCAGAGCAUGCGAGGUGCAAUGGCAUACCGGUGAUCCUUUUUCCGAAGUCGAAAUCAUCACCUGAGGGGGUGUCACUUACUGAACUCUUGAAUGCUCUUAGGAAUCUCAAGGUAGACCUCAUUCUACUUGCUGGUUACAUGAAGCUUAUACCUGUUGAGCUAGUUCAGGCAUAUCCAAGAUCGAUACUGAAUAUCCAUCCUUCACUCCUCCCGGCCUUUGGAGGCAAGGGUUACUACGGUUUGAAGGUGCAUAAAGCGGUCAUUGCAUCUGGAGCCAGGUACUCAGGGCCAACUGUGCACUUUGUCGAUGAGCAGUACGACACAGGAAAAACUUUAGCUCAGCGGGCUGUGCCUGUUUUAGCCAAUGAUACUCCGGAGAAAUUGGCAGCAAGGGUUCUUCAUGAGGAACACCAAGUUUAUGUUGAUGCAGUUGCUGCCUUCUGCGAGAAUCGAAUCGUGUGGCGGGAAGACGGUGUCCCAAUCAUCAGAAGCCGGAGAAACCCCGAUGAGUAUACCUAAUUCAUUAUGGCUGCCUCAACUCUCAGGGAUUCCCCGAAAACGAAUGAAGUUUGUAGGACCCCUGACAAUUUUCUCCAAGGCAUGGAGGUUCAUGCAGGUAAGGAAUGGGGAAAAAAAGGCAGAUUCAGAGAGAUAGCGGAAAAAUGUGAAAGUUUUGGGUUUGGGUACUGGCAGAAGGUUCUCUUCUCCAAAAUGCAACUUUCCACACCCAUUGCUUUUCCAUGUAUACUUUUAUAACAUCGCAAUUGCAUUGUACUAUAAAAUUAUCUACACUAACAAAUUAAAAUCUACUUACAUUAUUUUCGUAUGGUCAUUCAA